rfam:Ailuropoda melanoleuca scaffold2678_4, whole genome shotgun sequence.
GCCUGGCUGGCUCAGUCAGUAGAGCAUGUGACUCUCGAUCUUGUGGUUGUGAGUUCGAGCCCCAUGUUGGGUG